rnacentral:rRNA from 1 species
CGCGUAGGCGGGAUGGCAAGUCAGUCGUGAAAUCUCUCGGCUCAACCGAGAAACGUCGGCUGAUACUGCCGUUCUUGAGGGAUGCAGAGGAGACUGGAAUUCCCGGUGUAGCGGUGAAAUGUGUAGAGAUCGGGAGGAACACCGGUGGCGAAGGCGGGUCUCUGGGCAUCUCCUGACGCUGAGGCGCAAAGCGUGGGAGCAAACA